CAACGCCAACGCCUGUCAGGAUCAGAACGCUCUUCAUGACCGGAUGGACGUCGUAGAGAAGCGGGUGGAGGACACUCUUCAGAAGUUGGAGGCUGAGCUGGCUCUUCUGCUGGACGCUGUUGAGGCCCCUGAGUGGAGCCCCCUGCUGGACAAACCACUCAUCGACAUACUGGACGAGCCGCCGGGUGAAAUAUGAUCCUGGCGUUUCUUCAUGAGAUCGCACACAACAAUAAUGGGACGGAGCAGCCCAUAAAGUUCUGGUCCUAUAAUAAGUCAAAUCAGGGUUUUUAAAAAAAAAAGCUUUUCUUACUAAAAUUAAAUGACUCAUUCAUUCUCCUUUACUGCGUUUCAGUGUUUUCUUCUGGUGUUUGUUUGGAACUGUAUUAUAAAUGAUUUGAGGAGAUGAUCAAUCACUGCAUGCAUGUGAAUAUACAAAAAUAACAUGUUUACAGUAGAUACAGUGAACUCUUUCUCUCUUUUCUUUACUGAAUCCAGGAAACCUGUUGCUUUGCGUUGAGAAAAAAAAACGUAGGAUCUAAACAGGUUUUAAGACACUAUUAGGAGCAUCUAAGACAUUUUUCUCAUGUUGUCGUUCAGGGCUUCUGCACUACUGGAGACUACUAGUGAAAAAGUGAAAACUGCCUAUUCUAAACUCACAAAAGAAAUGGAAAGCAUAUUACAAAUAUGCUGCACCGUAGAACUUUUACAAAAAG